rfam:Lepisosteus oculatus unplaced genomic scaffold TNK124, whole genome shotgun sequence.
GUCACGAUGGCCAAGUGGUCUAAGGUGCUGUGUUCAGGUUGCAGUCUCCCCUGGAGGAGUGGGUUAGAAUCCAACUUCUGACA